AGGUGGGUAACCGGAUUUCACAGCUAAGUCACAGCUGAGUGAGCCGGCUGGCCAUGCAGGACCCGGGUGGGGUCGCUGAAGGGUGACCUGUCUCCCGGAGACACGACCACUCCCCAAAGGUCACGACCAGACCACGCCUUCAGGGGACACGGGCUGUAUAAAUGGUCGGACAGCGGCAGCGGAGGCACAGUCAACACAGACACCGGGCAACCAACAUGAUCAAGUUUGUCGUAUUCGCCCUGUGUGUGGCCGCCGCGGCUGCCGGCGGUGGAUAUGGUGGUGGAUAUGGCGCCCAGAGCCACGUCAGCGUCCAACAGUACAAUCCCUGGGGCAGCAGCAAGUAUGGAGUUCAUCAGACUCACGCCACUUAUGCCGGCCAUAGCGGUGGAUACGGUGGAUACGGAGGAUACGGCAAGUUUGUCGGAGGACACGCCAAAGUCUACGCCCAGGCCCAGGGAUCUGGUGGAUAUGGACACGGCGGAUACGGCGGUGGACACGGCGGAUACGGUGGUGGACAAGGUGGAUACGGCGGUGGACACGGCGGAUACGGCGGUGGAUAUUCCUACGGAUACAGCGCCGAUGUCGGACAUGGUGGAUACGGCGGAUACGGACACUAGAAACACAUACAAGACUAUUGAACGGGGUUAUCGUUUUGUCGCUGUGUGCGAUGGUCGCGACUGCCGAUGGAAUACCUGGCGGGCCACUGGAGGGACUGCAAAGUCACGUCAGCGUGCAACAAUAUAACCCCUGGGGCAGCAGCAAUUACGGGGUUCAUCAGACUCAUGCCAACAAAAUCGGAAACCAGGGCGGUGGAUACGGCGGAUACGGAGGAUACAGCACGUUCACUGGAGGGAAGGCCAAGGUCUACGCUCAGGCUCAGGGAAUCGGUGGCCAUGACGGAUACGGUUCUGGCGGAUAUGGACGAAAGGGAUAUGGACACGGUGGAUACGACGCUGGACACGGUGGAUACGGCCGAUACGCCUACGAAUAUAGUGCUGAUGUCGGACAGGACGGUUAUGCCGGGUAUGGUCGUUAAGCAAAUACUUCCUCUGUCUGUAUGGUGAUGAAUGUUGCAUAGAAAUGUGCUGGUUGUUCCAUCAUCUUAAAGUCGGUCUUACCGAUGAAAUCAGGUUUGUCAAUCAAAUAAAUGACCAUCGAUAGCAUCC